CCUACGGGAGGCAGCAGUGGGGAAUUUUGGACAAUGGGCGCAAGCCUGAUCCAGCCAUGCCGCGUGCGGGAAGAAGGCCUUCGGGUUGUAAACCGCUUUUGUCAGGGAAGAAAUCCUUUGGGUUAAUACCUCGGAGGGAUGACGGUACCUGAAGAAUAAGCACCGGCUAACUACGUGCCAGCAGCCGCGGUAAUACGUAGGGUGCGAGCGUUAAUCGGAAUUACUGGGCGUAAAGCGUGCGCAGGCGGUUAUGCAAGACAGAUGUGAAAUCCCCGGGCUCAACCUGGGAACUGCAUUUGUGACUGCAUAGCUAGAGUACGGUAGAGGGGGAUGGAAUUCCGCGUGUAGCAGUGAAAUGCGUAGAUAUGCGGAGGAACACCGAUGGCGAAGGCAAUCCCCUGGACCUGUACUGACGCUCAUGCACGAAAGCGUGGGGAGCAAACAGGAUUAGAUACCCUGGUAGUCCACGCCCUAAACGAUGUCAACUGGUUGUUGGACGGCUUGCUGUUCAGUAACGAAGCUAACGCGUGAAGUUGACCGCCUGGGGAGUACGGCCGCAAGGUUGAAACUCAAAUGAAAUUGACGG
rnacentral:rRNA from 1 species